CUCGUGGCGGGCGGGCGCCCCUUCCAACGCAGGUAUAUAGCGCUCGCGGCGAGGAGAGCAAGCCGAGCCGUUCUGGAGAGGCAAUGCAGCUGAAGCAGCCGAAGAGAAGCGCAAGGCUUUCGGUGGCAACUCCAGCGGAGAGAAGUAGCCGAUUUCAGCGGACACCCACCUGGGACACUGUCCAUUCCUCCCUCGGGAGCUGCCCUCUUCGGUCUGCAGGGAUCGGCCGGUCUCUUGGAAAGGACUGCUCUUUCUUUUUUACAUCAGAGUACCAGCACAUCUGACCUUGUCAAGCUGUUCUAAAGAAAGGGGCCUGCUACCAAGAAUACCUCAAGCCCCGUUAGUAGAGAUACCCAUCCCAACUCCCUGUGUGCUACAGGAAACUUUGUGAUUUAGAGUCACCACAAAGCAAAUAAA